rnacentral:snoRNA from 1 species
UCUAGAGGAUGAAGUAUAGCACUGGGCGCUGACGUUAAAUGAGCCGACAACGCUUAAUGGUGGGCCUCAGAAACCCAACCGCUACUGAAUAGA